AGCCCAAGUGCCGCGGGACCGGGAGCGGCGGCGGGGGUUACGCGGGUCCCUGCCCGUCUGCCUCCCCCGGGACACCCACCGCCGAAAAUCCCGGUUUUCCGAGGUGAAAAUCCUCCUGGAUUAUCCGAGACUGACCGCCCCCGCCGCCGCAGCCCGGGAUUUGCCUUCCGGCAGAAACUCGCUUUAAAAAUAAGUUUAAAGCGCCCAUUUUGCGGCACUAACGACCCUUUCUUUGCCCUGUGGCAGCGCCUGGCGCUGGAAAAAUAAAUGUGAGAUGAGACGGGCACAAAACGGGCUGGAGGGAAAGGCUGCGUACCUUCCACUGGAGGAGCCUGCAAUGCCGAGGGAAUUCCGAAAAAAUUUCUCUCUCUCUUUGCUCCAACCCCUCCUCUUUAAAGUUCAGUAUUAGCUGGUGGGCGAAGCCGCCGUCCUUGCUGGCGGGCGGGGAAGUGAUGCCAGAGGGUCUCGGAGCUGGAGUGAUGAUUUCUGCAGGGAAAACGCUUCAUCUCGUUGGUCGUCGGUAGCUGUGAAUUUGCCAAGAGAGAGGAAACCGAAAAGGAAUUUUAAUUCUUUUAAUUUCCUUUCUAAAUAGUGUUCUCUGCAUUUCGAAGCUCACGGGAGGUUUGCAGGAACAGGCGGCUGAAUUCCUCAAAUAUAAAUAAUAACCAAAUCAAACUAUAGAAUGGGACGGACGGAGAUGCUCGGGGUGACAGACGGUCCCUCUGCCCGGGGCCGCGGCUGUUCCCGGUUCUGGCCAUUCGGAAUAAAAAAAUGAAUGGGAAAAAAUUUAUUAUUGUAAAAAUAAAUCCUGGUGACUCGGGAAUUAAAGAGGGAGAGGGUAGAGGAACGCAGAGAGCAGCGACCCAGACGGGGCUGAGAAAAGCGGCUCAGCUGCCGAGGUGCGAAUGCAACGGCUGAAAAGAGCUUUCCCCAAAUAAAAUAAAAUAAGAAUAAAUUCGAAAAACUGGAAAGAAAGAAGGAAAAAGAUCCACGCAAUUAACUCUGUCCCCACGACUGUUGCGCUUGCAAGCAGGAAUAACCCGGGCUCGGGCACACGGAGCCGGCCGGGCUUGCGGGGAUGCUGCGGUGUCCCCGGGGCUGGGCUGCUGCCACCCCCAUGCCCCCCAGAGCCCUUGGGAAUGUUUUGUUCACUUUGACUAUUUUUUCUAUAUUUUUAGUAUUUAAACCAAGCCGCAAAACACGCUCAGACUAAG